CCUACGGGAGGCAGCAGUAGGGAAUCUUCCACAAUGGGCGAAAGACUGAUGGAGCAACGCCGCGUGGGUGAAGAAGGUCUUCGGAUCGUAAAACCCUGUUGUUAGAGAAGAAAGUGCGUGAGAGUAACUGUUCACGUGUCGACGGUAUCUAACCAGAAAGCCACGGCUAACUACGUGCCAGCAGCCGCGGUAAUACGUAGGUGGCAAGCGUUAUCCGGAUUUAUUGGGCGUAAGGGGAACGCAGGCGGUCUUUUAAGUCUGAUGUGAAAGCCUUCGGCUUAACCGGAGUAGUGCAUUGGAAACUGGGAGACUUGAGUGCAGAAGAGGAGAGUGGAACUCCAUGUGUAGCGGUGAAAUGCGUAGAUAUAUGGAAGAACACCAGUGGCGAAAGCGGCUCUCUGUUCUGUAACUGACGCUGAGGUUCGAAAGCGUGGGUAGCAAACAGGAUUAGAUACCCCUGUAGUC
rnacentral:rRNA from 1 species